UAUAGGACCUGCAUAAUCGAGUGCAACGU
rnacentral:piRNA from 1 species